UAGGGAAUCUUCCGCAAUGGGCGAAAGCCUGACGGAGCAACGCCGCGUGAGUGAUGAAGGUCUUCGGAUCGUAAAACUCUGUUAUUAGGGAAGAACAAAUGUGUAAGUAACUAUGCACGUCUUGACGGUACCUAAUCAGAAAGCCACGGCUAACUACGUGCCAGCAGCAGCGGUAAUACGUAGGUGGCAAGCGUCAUCCGGAAUUAUUGGGCGUAAUGCGCGCGUAGGCGGCUUUUUAAGUCUGAUGUGAAAGCCAACGGGUAAACCGUGGAGGGUCAUUGGAAACUGGAAAACUGGAGUGCAGAAGAGGAAAGUGGAAUUCGAUGUGUGGCGGUGAAAUGCGAAGGGAUAUGUAGGAACACAAGUGGCGAAGGCGACUUUCUGGUCUGUAACUGACGCUGAUGUGCGAAAGCGUGGGGAUCAAACAGG
rnacentral:rRNA from 1 species